ensembl:snRNA U6 U6 spliceosomal RNA
GUGCUCACUUCAGCAGCACAUAUACUAAAAGUGGAACUCUACAGAGAAGAUUAGCAUAGCCCCUUCACCAGGAUGGCACACCAAUUUGUGAAGAGUUCUUUUUCUUU